rnacentral:lncRNA from 1 species
AAUCACCAUUAAUUGUCCUUCUCUAAGCCAUCACAAAUAUUAAGAAAGACCAAAAUUCUUUGAUAAGGGUAUUUCCUCAAUUUUAUCCUUAAAGUGUCUAAAAACUCUGCAUUUUAAUUGCUCUAUAAUGAACAAGCUGAAUCAAAACAAUGUGUUGGCCACAUACAUGCAACGUCUCUACAAGUCCCUGGCCCCCUCUUUCCCAUCCUCCUGCCACCCCUAUGCUUUUCCCAUAUAGAAAUUCCAGAGCUACACUAGCUGAAAGUUGAGUUCCAACAUUUUGCUCAAUAGAGAGAACCAAAAGCAGGACCAAAAUGGCUCUUCAGAACCCAGAUGUAAGACCUAAGAUUUGCAGUGAGAUUGGUCUUGAGAGUCAAGGACCAGGAGUCGAUGAGAUGAUAACAAAGACAAGGUGUUCCAAGAUAAUGAAUACUUCCAUAGCAACAAAAGUCUGACAAUAAACUGUUACCUUGAUUUUCACAUUUUCAAAGAAAAAUCCUUCAAUGGCAAUCAAACCAGAAGUCUCAGCAAUGGACACGCAAUAAUGGCUACAAGAAUUAUUCUAAGGUUUUUGGCCUGAGAAACUAGAAGAAUGGAGCUGCCAUUUACUAUGAAAGAGAAGGCUGAGAUUGAACAGAUCUAAGGGAGAAAGUCAAGACUGUGUUUAUAGCGAUGUUGUCUUCGACAUGCCUACUAGACAUCUCGAUGGAAGUGUCAGGUAAGCACCUAGAUUUACAAGUCUGAAGUCCAGGGGAGAGAGCUCGACUGAAGAUAAAAAUUUGGGAGUCAUCCAAAAGACCAUAGAUAGUACUUAAGCCACGGAAAUGGAGGAGGUCACUUAGGGAGUGAAUGGAGAAGAAGAAAAGUGAUCUGACAAUGGAAAAAUGGAAGAGGAAAAGAGUUGGAAAAUGACGAGGAUCCACCACAGGAUACUAAGAAGGGGCAGCCGAUGAGGUAGAGAAAAUGAUGUCCAACUGUGUCGAAAGCUUCUGAUAGAUCGAGAUAGAUGAGGACUCAAAUAUACCGUUGGAUUUAGCAAUGGAGAGGUGGUUUCUGACUUUGAUUGGAACAACUUUAAGUAGAGUGAUGGGGUUGAAAGCCUGACUAGAGAGAUUCAUGAGAGAAUGGAAGGAGGGGAAGUGGACACUGAAAAGUCGAUCUACUUUUCUGAGAAAUUUUGCUGUCAAGGGAAGCAGAGAAAUGGUGGAAGAUGGUGGGAGAUAUGGGAUCAAGGGAGCUCUUUUUUUAGAUGAGAAAUAUUACAGCAUAUUUAUAAGAUAAUGUGAAUGAUCAAGUAGAUCAAUAAAAAUUAAUGAUUGAAGAGAGAGAGGAAGAAUUGCUGGAGUAAUGCCCUUGGGAAGGUGAGAAGACAUGGAAAGACCAGAAAGAUGUGGUGAAAUCACUGGUGAGCCCUUGAGCUUAGUAGAUAUAGAUAUAAGGACAGAGUCUGUU